GUACUCGUUUCAGCAGCACAUAGACUAAAACUGGAACGAUAGAGAGAUUAGCAUGGCCCCUGUACAAGGAUGACACACAAAUUCAUGAAGCGUCCCCUAUUAAA